rnacentral:tRNA from 1 species
CUAUAUCGCUAAGAUAGUUUAAUAAAACAUUAGGCUGUGACCCGAACAAUAGAACAUAAAAUUUCUU